UGUGCUUUAUCCAAUAAUUUCCACGGGAUCAAUGAGUAUCCAAACUCCUGUAACAAUAUCCCACGCGAACGAAGUCGCGGGUACAGCUAGUUAGUAAUAAAAUUUGUUUGUCGAGUAAACUACAAGUGUUUAGUUGAUUGAACGCAACGAUUUCAGACGGUCAGAUGCAAAAUUGCUCCUUCAAAUGCGAACUGUAUCAGCAACAUGGUAGCGUACACUCGCACAAGCAGCGUGCGCAGGCCGCACAGAGCCGGCGCGUCCAUCAGACGAGUUCGAGCCGUCGCGCGUCGCUCGCGUCUCCACACUCGCUCGUGUUAUUCGCCGACCGAAACUCGCGCAAACGCUGAAAAAUAACAACUUAUCAACACUCUUGUGUAUGUUCUGUUCUAUCUCAUAACGCCAGUUGAAAUUUUAGUGAAAUAAAUCGUACUCACUGCGUUAAGCGUAGUGCAUUCGUGUAAACAAACGAUGCGUUCGAUCUAUAAUCGAUUGAUAAAAUAGUUUUUUUAAGGUUAAGUUUGUUGAACUUUUUUCGCGGCACGCGCGGCUUCGCAGUGACGUAAGAAGUGCAACUAACCAGAUUAGAUACUGUAAGCCUGCUGUAAUAAUAUAGACGAGCAUUAAAUCAAGAAGUUACAAAAUGUGAAAAAGACAAUAUAAAUAAAAUUAUCAUAUCAAAGACAUAUCUAACAAUAAAUUUAGACAUAUCACACAAUAAAAUCAUAUCGGUGUUUUUCAUACAACUAUAGUUAUAAACAAGUGUGUCUAUUUAAGUGUAAUUGUAAAGGAUAAGUGAAGUGUUAAAAGAAAGUGAAAAUGUCUGAGCGUUUCAAGGUGACGAAAUUCGAAGAGCCUUCGGGCAAGGCGUUUAAGAAUUAUGGCGCCACUUCCGCUGAGAGCGACGUGGAGCUGAAAGGGAAGCUGCUACCAGAUUCAGGUAACUUCAGCAAUAUUUCGAAAAAAGGUAACAACCAGUUCGCUGUAAUUACUGACCGAUGACCAGAGUAUGAUGUAAAUGGUUUCGACUGGUCUAGGAUUUUUUAUUGAUGACAAUUAGUAGAUAGAUGAGAUAAUAAUUAUGAUAUAAUUAUGUAUAAUAAAGCAAGAAAAUUUGCAAACUUUUUUUAUUCCACAACUUUGACUGAAUGUUUAUUAUAAUUAUUAAAAGAAAUAAACAGCAAACAAGAAAACAAUUGAAAAACCUCCAUAAAGUUCCUAUUAGCUUCAUUUUUCUUUUCUUUGCUUCAUUCCUUUAGCCAAUCCAGAGGCCAUGGUAACGAUGUCAAUUGCACUACUAGCUUUACCUAUAUUUCUAUAUAAACAAUAUCAUUUAAA
rnacentral:misc_RNA from 1 species